AGAUGCAAUCUUCCCACUGUGCCGCACUGGAUUUCCAGAAUGAAGACAUGUUUACAAGCCCAGGAAAGGAAUUUGAACUUCACUCAGUAGGGGAAGGAGAAUUAUCCAGAAAGCCUUGCUGGGUAGCUUGGAUAUAUUAAUAAACCACGUGUGAAACUGACAGAUCGUUUUUAGAAGGGGAAUCAUUCAAGAAAAUGCUGAAUGACAUGGCUAAACAAGGAGAGGAAGAUGAACGGACUCUGAGCUGUGGCCUCUUGAAGACAAGCAGACCAAGUCUAAUCAACUCUUCAAUAUGACAACCCUUCAGCUAUUUGAACAAAGCUAUCAUUUCUCUUCUAGAAACCCAGCAUCCCUAGCUUCUUCAAGCAAGUCUGGUAUGGCACAAUCUCUGGUCUGCUCACCAUACUGAUUUCCCUUGUCUAGAAGUGUUCUAGUGUUUUGGAGUCCUACCUAAACUGUGGUAUUGAUAACUGAAAACAAUUCUGCAUAUACACUCUGAUCAUAGUGGAGUACAGUGCAAUUAGAAACUCCACCUUUUCUGGAUUAUUUAAGCCUAUGGUCAAAUAAACUUUUUCGGCCUCA